GUGAUCGGCCACAUUGGAACUGAGAUACGGUCCAGACUCCUACGGGAGGCAGCAGUGGGGAAUAUUGCACAAUGGGCGAAAGCCUGAUGCAGCAACGCCGCGUGAGUGAUGAAGGUCUUCGGAUUGUAAAGCUCUGUCUUUUGGGACGAUAAUGACGGUACCAAAGGAGGAAGCCACGGCUAACUACGUGCCAGCAGCCGCGGUAAUACGUAGGUGGCGAGCGUUGUCCGGAUUUACUGGGCGUAAAGGGUGCGUAGGCGGAUGUUUAAGUGAGAUGUGAAAUACCCGGGCUUAACUUGGGUGCUGCAUUUCAAACUGGAUAUCUAGAGUGCAGGAGAGGAGAAUGGAAUUCCUAGUGUAGCGGUGAAAUGCGUAGAGAUUAGGAAGAACACCAGUGGCGAAGGCGAUUCUCUGGACUGUAACUGACGCUGAGGCACGAAAGCGUGGGUAGCAAACAGGAUUAGAUACCCUGGUAGUCCACGCCGUAAACGAUGAGUACUAGGUGUAGGAGGUAUCGACCCCUUCUGUGCCGCAGUAAACACAUUAAGUACUCCGCCUGGGAAGUACGAUCGCAAGAUUAAAACUCAAAGGAAUUGACGGGG
rnacentral:rRNA from 1 species